GUGCUCGCUUCUGCAGCACAUAUACUAAAAUUGGAGCAAUACAAAGAACAUUAGCAUGGCCCCUACGCAAGGAUGACAUGCAAAUUCAUAAAGGGUUCUGUAUUUUA
rfam:Erinaceus europaeus unplaced genomic scaffold scaffold00639, whole genome shotgun sequence